AGUAUUAGGUUGGUGCAAAAGUAAUUGCGGUUUUUGCUGCUUUCAAUGGUGAAAACCACAAUUACUUUUGCACCUACCUAAUAAUGAU
rnacentral:miRNA from 1 species